rnacentral:lncRNA from 1 species
GAAAAAGACAAACAGACAAACAAUAGUACACAUGACACAACAUAGAAAACUAAAGAAUAAACAACACGAACCCCACCAAAAACUAGGGGUGAUCUCAUGUGCUCCGAAAGGGUAUGCAGAUCCUGCUCCACAUGUGGCACCCGUCGUGUUGCUUAUGUGAUAACAAAUCCGGUCAAUAGUCUAAUUCGAUAGGUCACAUUCAUGAAAGGGAAGGG